CAGGCCCCUCAGCCCCCACCGCCCGCAGCCCGAUCAAGGCGCCCGGCCCCUCAGCCGCUGCCCGACCCAGCCUCCGGUCCUCUCAGCGCUGCUUGCGGGGUUCCUGAGGAGGGGGACGGUCACCGACGGCAGCCCCCCGGGAAGCCCUCUCCGAGCCGGCCGGGGUGGUCCCGCCUGGGCGAGGGGAGGCGGUCCCAGCCGGCUGUGGGGCCGUGAGGGUGCAGAGGGGCAUCUGCCGUUCACCGUGCCUCUCGGUGAAACUCGAGGGGUCGCAGGGGGCAGCGGGUUGCUGUGGCGGGCCGCGAGGGUUGCCAGUGAACCCAAGGGGAACUCAUGUGUCUCCCAUCAAAUGUGUGUUUGGGGAGACUUGAGGGUCACCGGCAGCAAGGGUGAAGCCCCUUCCCCAGGGAAUGUCUCUGCCUUUCCCAUCAGUGAACCCAGGCCUCGCCUCCGGCACCCAGGCAGGCGGUUUCCAGAAAUCUCUGCCUGCCCUCCCCCCAGGGCAGCCUCCUCGGGGGAAAGGCAGCUCAAGGCCAACCAAGCUCUUCAUAUGAGUUUCGUAAGGCUGUAGGAGAAACCACAAUGUGGGCUCAGAAGCAGCGGAAUCGUUAUCUAAACCCCAAAUAGCACGGUACUAACUCCUACUUCUGUCUCGUGUUUAGGAUUGAAGUGAUGUGGAGAGCCCUGCGUGCCCCAGUGGUACGGGGGAUGUAGUCAGGAGGCAAGGAGGAGCAAAGGAGGAGAGUAUCGCCUCAUCUUCUGUUUGCAACAAGCCCAGGCCACCUGGCAUGGGAGGGGUAUGGGCAUAGCAGAGAGCAUGUGAAUCACCCUGGACGUGCAGGUAACGUUCCGGCUAAAUCAGAUAACGCUCUGUACGGUGCUGGUGCUGCGUUCACCAGUAACCUGUGAUGCACAAUAGUGGAGAAAAAGUCAUCCUUCCACAAUCAAUAACACAAUAAUGGAGUGCUGUUUAGAUGACAGUUUGAGAUUUUUUUUUUAAUGAAUGUGAUUCCAUCAAGUAUUAGGGAAUUUUUUGCCCAUUACCUUAAGUGAGAACAUAUUUUUUGUUGUGCUAUUGACCUGCCCAUAUCAUAAUUGCAGUAGUCUUUGUUAUUUAGUUAUGAAACUCUUCUCCAUCUAAUCUAAACAUAAUGUAUGCAGUUUCAGAGGUUUCUUAAACUGCGAACUCCUACUCAGCUGUUUUUCUGACUGGCAAUCAUGGCUCUACUGUGCCUUUAUAUUUGCAUCUACCUUGGGGUUUUUUCUGUCAUUUUUAGUGUCAUUGGUUAUAUUUGUCAUUGUUUAUGUUCUUAUGUCCUUUCUUUCCCAUGAUGAACUGCUGUUCUGAUCACUGUGGGCCCAACUGUAUGCAAGAUCGAGACGCUCAGCAACUCCUAGUUUCCACAGGCACUCAGCUCACUGGAAAUGAUCAGUAAUUUUCAACAGACUGCCUAAGCAGUUUGAAAAAAAUACACCAAAGAUAAUAACUAGGAAAAUAUAUUUUAAGCAAUAAAUGUAAAUGGGAAAAGAAGUUUCAUUUGAGAAGUUAAGCAGAUGCAGCUAUAACCAAUUUCUUUAAUCUGCUGAUACAUGAGUGUUAUGUUUAAUUUUCAAGUGCUGUUUAGUUGUCAAUUAGGAAUUGGAAACAAUUCAGUUGUUCGUAGCAAACCACUUUCUCUUGCUAUUUCCUAAUUUGGAAUAUUAUUCUAGAUUUUCAAGAUGUUUAUCCCCUAAUUCUUCAGGUUCAUCUUAUGUUCACGUGAGUAGUUUCAGAAGACACAUUCACUAGCUAACACCCAUCUCCUCUUGCAGUUGUACACUGCACAACAUUUAUAAUUAAGCCUCUUAGGAAGUUAGCUGCAUGGCCCAUGAUUAACUUCCCUUAAUUCUUCAUUGUUAAAGCUCAGUGCAGAGAUCUCUGGAGUAAUCACCCACCUUCCCAUCCUGAGCUGCAGAACGGCAACGUAGCAUGUAAGUCAGUAUGCACCAAGAUGUCAUCCCAGCACGGAAGAGAGAAGUUUUGUGAAGAAGAGGUGUCUGUUUGUGUUGGAAGUGCUGUAAUGAAUGGCACAUUGAGACUACUACCAGCUUAUAAUAAUGACUGGUAUUCCCUGUUCUGCAAGACUGGGAGGGAAAGAGCAUAUCCAAUGAACAGAAGUGGAUCCUUGGAUUUUGGUUCUUGAGGUGACCUUGACUCUAUGAAUCUAUGGAACAAUUAAUAGUACAGAACAGUUGAUUGCUUCUCUGUUUGUGCGGCAACAGAUUAUGGAAUAAACCAAAAGUAGCCUUCA